UAUGUAAAGGGUUUCUUGGCUAGGGGAGUUGGUGCUCCCGUAACUGGUAACUUCUUGGCACUGAGUAAUUUGUUAUUGUGGCUCUUAAUGAAGCUAAUUCACUUGAGUGAACUGUCCCCUCCCAUGUUCUCCAUCCAUUUAGCUCCCUGGACCAGAGCCGUGGCUACUGGGACAGCAGAGUUUAGUGGCUGAAAGUGGAGGCACACCUGCUUCCUACCGCCACCACUCACUGACUGCAAUAUGGGACACAGCUUCUUGAACACUAGCACUCAAUGGUGCUUACCACACAGAGCUGGCAUACAGAUUAUGCAAAGUGCAGGUCAGAGCUGAAGUUGCUUCCUUCUACCUGGCAGAGCCCAGAAGAUGGACAUGGGAGACGUUAUUCGGGUGAUUUUAAGGGAAACCCAGUACUUCUGGGAACUACUGGAGCUGAUGAGGGUAAAAGUGACCUCCUGCUGUUGCUUAGAAGACCAUGGACCAUGGACAGAGAGUGUAGGGGUGAACAAGACUGAACUUGGUGGGGCUGGGGCUUCAGUUGUGUUCAAUUAAGAGUCAUCCUUCCAGAACAAAAAGGGAAUCUUGGGCAUCUUCUAACUGCAGGUGCCAUGUAUGGCCUGGAACCCUGCUGUCAUGCACCUCCCCCAUAGUAUACCCACUCACCGGGACCAAUGCCUGAAUUUGCAUGCUUCCUAUCCUGGGCAGGAUUGAACUGGUGCUUAUUUUAGGUCAUUCUUGGCCUCCCCUGGAUUCUGGUGUAUCUGAGGAAGUUUCAGUAUGCCUCCAAGACAAUCCGACUUCUGCCUGAUGACGCGUUUUGUCUAGAAAUAGGGUGGCAAAGAGUAUAUGGAGUUGGGGGCAGCAGUUCCUCUUCUAAGACUCCAAUGAGAUAGUAAAGACGCUAGGACCUGAGACCUCUAGACCCCCAACCUAUUCAUUCAUUCAAAUCACUUCUCUGUGAACCUAAUGCAUGCCAUGGACUAUGGAGGUACUGAAGAUGCAACAGUGACUUCAUGACAUUGUUGUCCUGCAGGAAUUCUAGACUCAGGGAAGGAGGUAGGGGUAAAAGAAAACUAAAGGGCAGUCCCAAGGAAGUUCUGAAUCCAGAUGUGACCUAUGGUCUUUCUCUGUUUCAGCUCUCUGCUUGUACAAUAGGG
rnacentral:lncRNA from 1 species